rnacentral:rRNA from 1 species
UACGUAGGUGACAAGCGUUGUCCGGAUUUACUGGGCGUAAAGAGCGCGCAGGCGGUCGAUCAAGUCGAGUGUGAAAGCCCCCGGCUCAACUGGGGAGGGUCAUUCGAAACUGGUCGACUCGAAGGCAGGAGAGGGUAGUGGAAUUCCCGGUGUAGUGGUGAAAUGCAUAGAUAUCGGGAGGAACACCAGUGGCGAAGGCGACUACCUGGCCUGUUCUUGACGCUGAGGCGCGAAAGCUAGGGGAGCAAACGGG